GGAUAACCACACAGCCAAAGUCAUCCCCAGGCCGCUAGCUACUCCGAGGCCACAAGGUCCCUCAGGGCAGUGCGUAGGGUGGGAAUCUCAAGAGAACAAAUAGGAAAUUCUAGAACCUGACCCCCCACCCCAUCCCCAGCAAGAGCACUAGUCAGAAGGACCAGAAGGGCUGAAUGAAAGGGUCUUUGAAUGCCAGGAAAUGGCCUGUCCACAUGCCACUGUGGCCUCUCCAGGGCUCACUGAGGUCCGGGGCCAGGGCUGCUAGGCCAGGGACUGUAGGAGCCUAUCGAUGCUCAGGCGAGAAGUCACAGAUGUGGGCCUCGGUUUAGGUGGAUGGGCACAGCUUCUUGAGGUUCUACAGAAAAUACCAGAGCUCUGAGCAGUCAUGCCUCACGUGGUCAGUCCCUGUGGUCGGGACUCAAUGGACAGACAGGAUGACGAUGCUCACCAGGACAACAGGUGCAUGAUGAUGAAGUCGAGCCCAUGGCCUCGGCAGCUGGCUGUUCUAAGACCACCUGCUUCACCAUACACGUCUUAACCAUCCUGGUGUGACUCCAGCGCGCAGAGCCGGAGACCAGCUGAGUGGGGGGCCUGCAGACGCCGCCUCCCAGCAUUCUGAAAAUCUCUGGCAGGAGUGGGGAGUCUGGUGUCUCUACAAUCCUCUCCCCUUGCCAAAUCCACCAGGUCCUGGGGCAAUUCCAUUUGAGUAAAAAUUUGGACUUCCUCUAC